rnacentral:rRNA from 1 species
UACGGGGGGGGGCAAGCGUUGUUCGGAAUUACUGGGCGUAAAGGGCUCGUAGGCGGCCAACUAAGUCAGACGUGAAAUCCCUCGGCUUAACCGGGGAACUGCGUCUGAUACUGGAUGGCUUGAAUCCGGGAGAGGGAUGCGGAAUUCCAGGUGUAGCGGUGAAAUGCGUAGAUAUUGCUCGGAAGGCCAGAGCCGAAGGGGCCCCAUUGGUACGUAACUGACGCUGAGGCACGAAAGCGUGGGGAGCAAACAGG